AAAAAAUAUUGAAAUAAUACCAAGAAUUUGUCAAAAAAUAAGCAAAAAGCUUACCUUAAACACCGUUGAUGUCGUUGAAUAAACGUACUCGAUCAAACCGCUCUGAAGCUAAAUCUCACUAGCAAAGACUCUAGUAAACAAUAACACUAAAGAAUACUAGCAAAAGCCGUAGAAGCAAAACACGUUUGAUAACAGCGAGAGCCGAAACCAAAGUGCCAGUUCUCCUCGCUUGCAUUUACAGCAAAACUUCGACGAAGGGUGAGGGACGGGGUCUUUUAGAAAUAGUCAAUUCGUUUUUUUACCUGCGUAUACGCAUUGUCUAUAAAUGGUCAUAAAUUCCUACAAUCCUAAUUGUUAUCAGCGAGUAUUAUAAAACAGCUUUAAUGUAUUAUGACUAAGAUAAAUAAUAGUUUUAAGAUAAGGCAAAAUAAUAGUUGAAUAGUUACAAAAAAAGUUUAUUGUUUUUGUUAUUAGUUCCAAUCCUUCUCAGAAAAAAAUAUGCAGUUUGUCGCAUUUGACUAUGACUACGAUAGGCAAGACAAUAGGUAGAAAGCUAUAAAAAACUUAAUACUAAUUUAUUGUUUAUUGAUUUGUUUCGGUCAUACAAAAAAAAAAAUGUAUAGUUUAUUGUUAAAGGCCUAUUUUAUUUUUCAAGAAAGUCAAGACAGUCACAGUGAGACAUGCAUCACAUUUAUGUUUACUACAACAAUAGUUACUAGAAUCUUACUCGAAAACUUUUGAUCGCUAAGAAAGUCUUUAAGCUUGGGAGCAGUAGUUUUUAAAGUAUCUAAAUAAUGUCAAUAUUAAUACUUUUACAACAAAUAAAGAGUUUUUGGAACUUAGAGCUUUUGAAUAUUAAUAUUCUAAGAUCUUUUAUUGGUGACAUUUUCAUAAAUAUAUUUUCUACUUCUACAAAGAUUCUCUAAUUGGAAAAUUAUACGAAACAUCUUUUGACGAAAAUAUUUAAUAACUGUACGUAACGAGCAAACAUUACCACGUCUACUUACGAAUUCAUCAAUUAUCAUAUUAAAUCAGUAGUAUUUUAUUAAUGUUAAAGCAGACUGAUACUUGCGACGCGUAGAACUGAAACUACAGGCGACCGACACGAUGUAAUAACCGAAAGACGUAGGAAAUAUUGUUCCAGCGCACAGUUGAUUUUAAAACUAAAUAUAAAAGAUACGAUUUAAGAUGAGUUGCUAACUUUGAAUAAAUUAGAAAAAAGAAAUUAUGCGUAUUGCAAGAUAUUUUGUUGGCUUCGAAAAAAAUAAUUUACCUAACAAAUACAGAUUAAAUUUAAAAAAAUCAGUCUUGUUCAUAACUAGAAAUUAUAUUAUAUUUUAUGGUUAAUUCUAUGUAACUAAAUUCGUGCUCAUAAUAUUGAAAAAAAAUAGCUUAAAUGUAAUAGAAUCAAUUCUGUCCAAAACUAUAGAAAUAACAUUUCUUAAACUGAUCAUAAAACUAAACUCAAUGCUCGUAAUGUUUUCAACACACAAAGUAUAGUUUAAAUUCUAAAGAAUUAAUUCUGUACAAAACCCUUGAAAUAAUAUUUUUAAACAGAUCGUAAAACUAAACAUAAUGUUCGUAAUAUUAAAAAAAUAAGACAAUUUCGUAAUAUCAAAGAUUCGUUAAAAAUAUAAAAACUAAACUCAAUCCAUCUAACAUUGUUAAAAAAUAUUGAAAUAAUACCAAGAAUUUGUCAAAAAAUAAGCAAAAAGCUUACCUUAAACACCGUUGAUGUCGUUGAAUAAACGUACUCGAUCAAACCGCUCUGAAGCUAAAUCUCACUAGCAAAGACUCUAGUAAACAAUAACACUAAAGAAUACUAGCAAAAGCCGUAGAAGCAAAACACGUUUGAUAACAGCGAGAGCCGAAACCAAAGUGCCAGUUCUCCUCGCUUGCAUUUACAGCAAAACUUCGACGAAGGGUGAGGGACGGGGUCUUUUAGAAAUGGCCAAUCGUUUUUUUACCUGCGUAUACGCAUUGUCUACAAAAGGUCGGAAAUUUGUGUUUGCUGUUUACUAAUUGCUAUUGUUUAUUAUUGUUAAAACAGGUUUAAAGUAUUCUGCUUAAGAUAACCAAGACAAUAGUUGAAUAGUUAUUAGAAAGUUUAUAAUAUGUAAUUAGUUCCGAGACGAGAAAAAAAAAUAUAGUUGGUUGUUAUAGGCUUAAUGUUUUUUUUUAAUGAAUAAUAGUUAAAUAAGGUACCUAGGUACCUAUUAGUAACUAUACCCUGUAUAUUUCGCAAAAGAUAGACUAUAGUUAAAUCUAUAAUAUUCUAAUAAGCCAGAGGCGGCUCGUUACAUUUUUUGAUGGGGGUUCUCGAACAAAAAAAAAAAAAAAAACGAAAAACUAUAGCUUAAGAGAGAGCUAGAAAAUAAAUGUAUUUUAUUUGUAUAGA
rnacentral:misc_RNA from 1 species